GAGGCUAUUCGUUGCCAAAAAUCCAGCCUUUGAAACUUGACAAUGCAUACUUCGGUUCUACUAAACAGAUUAGUAAAAAUCUAAUUGUCGAUCCGAGAGUUACAUACUGCACUGGUAUUAAGCAUUUUGAUUAUCUCGAUUUGAUAAAAUGAAAGCUGUUAACAUGCAACUUAGAUAAAUUGCAAACUGUAUUUAUAAAUGUAUAAUUUCAAAUUUGCGACAUGUAGAAAUGUAAACGAUAGAACAUACACAAUACGUUUAAUGCUGUGCAUCAUGACGUUGAGAAUGUAACUGCAUCAACUUGACACACUCAGGUUUACAACACCACACUUUCCUUUUACAUUCUAACGCGAUUAACAUUUGUAAACGAUUUUGCAACUUCCAUAUAUGGAAUUAUCACGGAAAUAGACGAAAAUUAAUAGGCGGAGCCAAUUUCACGAAAGCAGAAUAUAAAGAGAGGUAACUCUUGCUGGUACAAAAAAUAUUUCAAAUUAUAUAGAAACUGUUACAUCAAUCUUGACUUUGAACAUCCUCUGAUUUUGUUAAAACGUAUUCUAGUACAGGAUAUUCAAGUAAUGCAAAAUUGGUUAAGAUAUAAUGUAAAAAUGUAACAACGUAUAUACUGAUAAUGAGCAUAUUAAUAUGCAAAAACUAAAGUUGGUGAAAUAACAUAAGGAAAUGUUUCCCAUAUAUAAUGACACACACCACUAUCCAUUGAUAUCAAUGAUAGGGUUUUGUGAGCCACGGCAAUACUCUUAAGCAUGUGUUUUUUUUUUUACCUUCAGCAAAUAGUACUAGAAUGCGAUACAUGGAAGGCACUUUUGGCAACACGAAUAAAGAGAACUGAACAAUAAGUCUGUGCCUUCUUUCUUUAAAGGACUAUGUUGGGUUGUAGAAAAUUUUUUGACCAAGUGUAUAACCACGAAACAAUGCAAAGUUUACUAUCGAUAAUUCCGUUGUAUAACCAAAACUUGUGAAUUUGUCCCAUUUUAAUGUUGAAAUAAAUAUUCAGUGUAUCCUGGCAACUCUGUUUACCUCCAUUGGGAGGUAUUUUGAGUCAUAGGAUGUGAUUUAGCCUUUUAUUGUUAAAUAUAUGUAAGCUGGCGUAGGUUUAGGUCUUUUAUGCAUUGUGCUGACUCAAUAGCACCUCUAAAAUAUGUGUUUACAUGCUGUCAUUAGCUGUUACCUAGAUUUGCUGUCUAGAUUUGCUGUCUAUAUGAUCAAAAACAGAGAACUACUUUUAUGUAUAUGAAAUACUACACAGAAUAUUUAUUAAGUUUUGUAAGUGAUGGCUUUCUAAGAGAUAAAAUAAACAAGGUAUACAUAAAUUGAUAAUCAACAUACAUACAUUUGGA